rnacentral:rRNA from 1 species
UACGUAGGGGGCAAGCGUUGUCCGGAUUUAUUGGGCGUAAAGAGCGUGUAGGCGGCCUUACAGGUCAGCUGUGAAAACUCGAGGCUCAACCUCGAGAGGUCGGUUGAAACUGUAAGGCUAGAGUCCGGAAGAGGAGAGUGGAAUUCCCGGUGUAGCGGUGAAAUGCGCAGAUAUCAGGAAGAACACCUAUGGCGAAGGCAGCUCUCUGGGACGGUACUGACGCUGAGACGCGAAAGCGUGGGGAGCGAACAGG